rnacentral:hammerhead_ribozyme from 1 species
GUCCAACUGACGAGUCCCAAACAGGACGAAACGCGAGUCCUGGAU